CGCGCAGGCGGGUUAGCAAGUCAGAGGUGAAAUCCUACAGCUUAACUGUAGAACUGCCUUUGAGACUGCUAAUCUUGAGUAUGGAAGAGAGAGAUGGAAUUCCAGGUGUAGUGGUGAAAUACGUAGAUAUCUGGAAGAAUACCAGUGGCGAAGGCGGUCUCUUGGUCCGUAACUGACGCUGAGGCGCGAAAGCGUGGGGAGCAAACAGGAUUAGAUACCCUGGUAGUCC
rnacentral:rRNA from 1 species